CUACGGGCCGCAGCAGUGGGGAAUAUUGGACAAUGGGGGAAACCCUGAUCCAGCAAUGCCGCGUGUGUGAAGAAGGCCUGCGGGUUGUAAAGCACUUUCGGUUGGGAGGACUGCUUCUAGCACUAAUAUUGUUGGAAGUUGACGUUACCUUCAGAAGAAGCACCGGCUAACUCCGUGCCAGCAGCCGCGGUCAUACGGAGGGUGCAAGCGUUAAUCGGAAUUACUGGGCGUAAAGCGCGCGUAGGCGGCUAGAUCAGUCGGGUGUGAAAGCCCCGGGCUUAACCUGGGAACUGCAUCCGAUACUGUCUAGCUUGAGUACAGGAGAGGAGAGUGGAAUUCCACAUGUAGCGGUGAAAUGCGUAGAUAUGUGGAGGAACACCAAUGGCGAAGUCAGCUCUCUGGCCUGAUACUGACGCUGAGGUGCGAAAGCGUGGGGAGCAAACAGGAUUAGAUACCCCAGUAGUC
rnacentral:rRNA from 1 species